AGUGAACGCUGGCGGUAGGCCUAACACAUGCAAGUCGAACGGCAGCACAGUAAGAGCUUGCUCUUACGGGUGGCGAGUGGCGGACGGGUGAGGAAUACAUCGGAAUCUACUUUUUCGUGGGGGAUAACGUAGGGAAACUUACGCUAAUACCGCAUACGACCUACGGGUGAAAGCAGGGGAUCUUCGGACCUUGCGCGAUUGAAUGAGCCGAUGUCGGAUUAACUAGUUGGCGGGGUAAAGGCCCACCAAGGCGACGAUCCGUAGCUGGUCUGAGAGGAUGAUCAGCCACACUGGAACUGAGACACGGUCCAGACUCCUACGGGAGGCAGCAGUGGGGAAUAUUGGACAAAGGGCGCAAGCCUGAUCCAGCCAUACCGCGUGGGUGAAGAAGGCCUUCGGGUUGUAAAGCCCUUUUGUUGGGAAAGAAAAGCAGGAGGUUAAUACCCCGCUGUUCUGACGGUACCCAAAGAAUAAGCACCGGCUAACUUCGUG
rnacentral:rRNA from 1 species